GAUCUCUGUUGUAGCAUUUAGUAUUCUUUGAAAACAUGAAGAAUAGCCAUAACAGCACGUUUAUUACAUAUUUUAUGAUCUCUUUUGUAUUAAUAUCAACUUUUGUCACGAUGGUGGUUACUGAAGCCGUCCUUAUAGACGUUCCCUGUAAAAAAGGUUACGCAAAAAUUAAGGGACAGUGCCGCAAAAUUUAUUCAUAAUCACAGAAACACGAGAAUCUGACAACAAUGUGAUCACAGUUAAUACGUCAAAAAGAAUGUAUUACAAAUAAAUGUUGCAAAUGUAAAAAUAUAAAAAAAUAAACUGCAAAUACAUAA